UCAGCUUCAGAACAGCUAAUGCAACUAGAAGGAGAGGCUAUAUUUUUCUUUAUAGGUUUCACAGAUGUCUUAAACUACUUCUAGUUUUACAUGUUAUAAGCAAAUAUACAGUGUACGAGGAAAAGCUUGUCUUAAGCAUUGGUGUGCAUGUGGAGCUCAUGGACUCUCCUGUUCAGCUUCAUUUCAAAAGCAUGUAAUUCCAUGGCUGAUGUUGCUCCACCAUAUUGGCCUAGAGUGGGACAUAAGGGUACCUCAGGUGGAGAAGCAGCAUUUCCUCAUGGGAGGACUGAUUUGAGGUGGCACAUGCUGGCUGCUCUAGUAGCAGUUCAAACUAAUAUUUGUCUCAAGUCCAUGAGCUGGAAGAGAGAUGUUGGGUCCCUCUGAAGCUUAAUGGAGGUGUCAUGAAGACGAAAUGGCUUGCAUGGUCUUAAUUGCUAUGCUGCAGAAGCAGCGUAGUUUUAUGCCCCUUCCUCAGCCUUGUAGGGCAAGUCCUGUGUUAAGAGCCCAGUGUGCCAGUGUCCUGAUGUGUUGGUGUCUUGCUGGUUUCUUAAUAAAUUGAUUUGUCUGAA